rnacentral:rRNA from 1 species
GAUGAACGCUGGCGGCGUGCUUAACACAUGCAAGUCGAACGGAAAGGCUCCUGCUUGCAGGGGUACUCGAGUGGCGAACGGGUGAGUAACACGUGGGUGAUCUGCCCUGCACUUCGGGAUAAGCCUGGGAAACUGGGUCUAAUACCGGAUAGGACGAUGGUUUGGAUGCCAUUGUGGAAAGUUUUUUCGGUGUGGGAUGAGCUCGCGGCCUAUCAGCUAGUUGGUGGGGUAAUGGCCUACCAAGGCGUCGACGGGUAGCCGGCCUGAGAGGGUGUACGGCCACAUUGGGACUGAGAUACGGCCCAGACUCCUACGGGAGGCAGCAGUGGGGAAUAUUGCACAAUGGGCGCAAGCCUGAUGCAGCGACGCCGCGUGGGGGAUGACGGCCUUCGGGUUGUAAACUCCUUUCGCUAGGGACGAAGCGCAAGUGACGGUACCUGGAGAAGAAGCACCGGCUAACUACGUG